rnacentral:lncRNA from 1 species
GAUCAGAAGUCUUACUCCAGAAAAUCAGCACAGUAUACUAGUACUGCGCUGAUCCUUCUUCGAUGGUUGAUCAAGUGCCUCCUUCUUCUUGAUUUGGACUCUUCCAAAUAUGAGAAGUAGGAGGAGGAGUUUUAGAUCUGAGAUGCUCUCAGAAAACUCAAGAUGGAGGAAGAAAAGAGAUGAACACAACAACCCUAGAAGAAGACUCUCUUCUUCUUCUUUUUGCUCUCUCUAGACACCCUAUCUUGUGUCUAUUAUAUCUCCAUGCCCCAACCUUCUUUCUCUCUAAUUUUUGGAUGCC